AUGUAUUCUCAUUUGCCUCCUUAUCGCGGACACAUCAUGUAUUCUCAUUUGCCUCCUUAUCGCGGACACAUCAUGUAUUCUCAUUUGCCUCCUUAUCGCGGACACAUCAUGUAUUCUCAUUUGCCUCCUUAUCGCGGACACAUCAUGUAUUCUCAUUUGCCUCCUUAUCGCGGACACAUCAUGUAUUCUCAUUUGCCUCCUUAUCGCGGACACAUCAUGUAUUCUCAUUUGCCUCCUUAUCGCGGACACAUCAUCUAUUCUCAUUUGCCUCCUUAUCGCGGACACAUCAUCUAUUCUCAUUUUAUCACGGACACAUCAUGUAUUCUCAUUUGCCUCCUUAUCGCGGACACAUCAUGUAUUCUCAUUUGCCUCCUUAUCGCGGACACAUCAUGUAUUCUCAUUUGCCUCCUUAUCGCGGACACAUCAUGUAUUCUCAUUUGCCUCCUUAUCGCGGACACAUCAUCUAUUCUCAUUUGCCUCCUUAUCGCGGACACAUCAUCUAUUCUCAUUUGCCUCCUUAUCGCGGACACAUCAUCUAUUCUCAUUUUAUCACGGACACAUCAUGUAUUCUCAUUUGCCUCCUUAUCGCGGACACAUCAUGUAUUCUCAUUUGCCUCCUUAUCGCGGACACAUCAUGUAUUCUCAUUUGCCUCCUUAUCGCGGACACAUCAUGUAUUCUCAUUUGCCUCCUUAUCGCGGACACAUCAUCUAUUCUCAUUUGCCUCCUUAUCGCGGACACAUCAUGUAUUCUCAUUUGCCUCCUUAUCGCGGACACAUCAUCUAUUCUCAUUUUAUCACGGACACAUCAUGUAUUCUCAUUUGCCUCCUUAUCGCGGACACAUCAUGUAUUCUCAUUUGCCUCCUUAUCGCGGACACAUCAUGUAUUCUCAUUUGCCUCCUUAUCGCGGACACAUCAUGUAUUCUCAUUUGCCUCCUUAUCGCGGACACAUCAUCUAUUCUCAUUUGCCUCCUUAUCGCGGACACAUCAUCUAUUCUCAUUUUAUCACGGACACAUCAUGUAUUCUCAUUUGCCUCCUUAUCGCGGACACAUCAUGUAUUCUCAUUUGCCUCCUUAUCGCGGACACAUCAUGUAUUCUCAUUUGCCUCCUUAUCGCGGACACAUCAUGUAUUCUCAUUUGCCUCCUUAUCGCGGACACAUCAUCUAUUCUCAUUUGCCUCCUUAUCGCGGACACAUCAUCUAUUCUCAUUUUAUCACGGACACAUCAUGUAUUCUCAUUUGCCUCCUUAUCGCGGACACAUCAUGUAUUCUCAUUUGCCUCCUUAUCGCGGACACAUCAUGUAUUCUCAUUUGCCUCCUUAUCGCGGACACAUCAUGUAUUCUCAUUUGCCUCCUUAUCGCGGACACAUCAUGUAUUCUCAUUUGCCUCCUUAUCGUGGACACAUCAUGUAUUCUCAUUUGCCUCCUUAUCGCGGACACAUCAUGUAUUCUCAUUAGGGUACCUAGCAUGCAGCACAUCUGUACUAAGCACAUGUAAGCCUGCGGGGAGGUUCUUACUUCACCUUAUAAGCUGA
rnacentral:lncRNA from 1 species